AUUGAACGCUGGCGGCAUGCCUAACACAUGCAAGUCGAACGGUAACGCGGAGAGCUUGCUCUCUGGCGACGAGUGGCGGACGGGUGAGUAAUACUUGGGAAUCUGCCCAGUAGUGGGGGACAACAUUCGGAAACGGAUGCUAAUACCGCAUACGCACUACGGUGGAAAGUGGGGGAUCUUCGGACCUCACGCUAUUGGAUGAGCCCAAGUCGGAUUAGCUUGUAGGUAGGGUAACGGCCUACCUAGGCGACGAUCCGUAGCUGGUCUGAGAGGACGAUCAGCCACACUGGGACUGAGACACGGCCCAGACUCCUACGGGAGGCAGCAGUGGGGAAUAUUGGACAAUGGGCGCAAGCCUGAUCCAGCAAUGCCGCGUGUGUGAAGAAGGCCUGCGGGUUGUAAAGCACUUUCAGUAGAGAAGAAAAGCCUAGGGUUAAUAACCCUGAGUCUUGACGUAACCUACAGAAGAAGCACCGGCUAACUCCGUG
rnacentral:rRNA from 1 species